CGUGUGUGAAGCAUGCCUACCUGUCAGCAUUUAUCAUCCAUCUGUAGGAGAUCCACCCGUCAUCACACCUGAACUCACCUAUGCCUAGGCCCACUAUGAUUCUGCCAACCAGGAGGACCACCUUGUCCGGGGCGAGCGCCAGCAUGACUCCUCCGAAACUGAAGAUGAAGCUGGCCAGAAGGAUACAGAUCCUGCGCCCCAGCCAGCCGUUCAGGACCCCUCCCGCCAGGGCGGAGACAGCUGCGGCCCCCACCGUGCUGGAGACCAGCAGCUCCUGCCACAGGGCGCUCAGGUUCAUCCUCCUCUUCAGCAGCAGCAUCGCCCCUGAGACAACCCCGGUGUCAUAUCCGAACAGGAACCCCCCCAGGGCGGAGAAGAACGCCAGCACAUAAACAAAGCCCGGCGUGGAGGCGUCCCGGUCCGGUGGCUCCCCGGAGGCUCCAGACGGAGGCCCGAUGAGACUCCGCUCCCCAUGGUCCGCCGCUCGCUGCCUCCUGCUGCCCGGCUCUCCCAUAGGCUUCAGGGGGCGCUCAUCAGCCCUGCGGGACACGGGAUUUGGGUCAGCUGCCGAACCCGCAGCUUCGAGGGCUUUGGCGAAACGUGACGAAGCAAAUCCAGUGUUACACCAAAAACUGUGACCUGCAAGAUGUUGUCACCACUUUAAUUAGAUUAUUGACAUGGUUUUGUGGGAGAAUGCAAAAGUAUUCUUAAUAUUUCAGGUGCACCUAAGAACAUUUCAGUGACUGUAAUCGGCAUUAACAUACAUCAGAAUGUGUAUAAAGAUGUUCUUGAUAACUUUGCAGCAGGUACAGUCAGAGAAGAUGAGAUCUGAGUAGACUUACUUAAGCUCAGAAACUUUGUAUAUAUGCACAUAAUGUUUGGCUUUUAAUGUCUUCAUUGUUUUAGAAUUAUUUUGAAAAAAGGGUUUUUGACGUGUUAAUAGUUACAAAGCCAAGUUAAAAAAAAAAA